UGGGAGUUGAGGUCUCUGUGGAUGAU
rnacentral:misc_RNA from 1 species